rnacentral:rRNA from 1 species
ACGGGAGGCAGCAGUGAGGAAUAUUGGUCAAUGGACGGGAGUCUGAACCAGCCAAGUAGCGUGAGGGAUGACGGCCAUAUGGUUGUAAACCUCUUUUGCGAGGGAAUAAAGUGCGUCACGUGUGGUGCAUUGCAUGUACCUUGCGAAUAAGGAUCGGCUAACUCCGUGCCAGCAGCCGCGGUAAUACGGAGGAUCCGAGCGUUAUCCGGAUUUAUUGGGUUUAAAGGGUGCGUAGGCGGCCCCUUAAGUCGGCGGUGAAAUUUCCGGGCUCAACCCGGUCACUGCCGUCGAAACUGGGGGGCUUGAGUGCGUUUGGGGUGGCUGGAAUGUGCGGUGUAGCGGUGAAAUGCAUAGAUAUCGCACAGAACGCCGAUCGCGGAGGCAGGUCACCAAGCCGCAACUGACGCUGAGGCACGAAAGCGCGGGGAUCGAACAGGAUUAGAUACCCUGGUA